rnacentral:rRNA from 1 species
UACGUAGGGUGCGAGCGUUAAUCGGAAUUACUGGGCGUAAAGCGUGCGCAGGCGGUCUGUUAAGACCGAUGUGAAAUCCCCGGGCUUAACCUGGGAACUGCAUUGGUGACUGGCAGGCUUUGAGUGUGGCAGAGGGAGGUAGAAUUCCACGUGUAGCAGUGAAAUGCGUAGAGAUGUGGAGGAAUACCGAUGGCGAAGGCAGCCCUGAC